UGGGGAAUUUUGGACGAAUUGGGCGCAAGCCUGAUCCAGCCAUGCCGCGUGCGGGAAGAAGGCCUUCGGGUUGUAAACCGCUUUUGUCAGGGAAGAAAUCUUCUGAGUUAAUACCUCGGGAGGAUGACGGUACCUGAAGAAUAAGCACCGGCUAACUACGUGCCAGCAGCCGCGGUAAUACGUAGGGUGCAAGCGUUAACCGGAAUUACUGGGCGUAAAGCGUGCGCAGGCGGUUUUGUAAGACAGAGGUGAAAUCCCCGGCUCAACCUGGGAACUGCCUUUGUGACUGCAAGGCUUGAGUGCGGCAGAGGGGGAUGGAAUUCCGCGUGUAGCAGUGAAAUGCGUAGAUAUGCGGAGGAACACCGAUGGCGAAGGCAAUCCCCUGGGCCUGCACUGACGCUCAUGCACGAAAGCGUGGGGAGCAAACAGGAUUAGAUACCCUGGUAGUCCACGCCCUAAACGAUGUCAACUGGUUGUUGGGAAGGUUCCUUCUCAGUAACGUAGCUAACGCGUGAAGUUGACCGCCUGGGGAGUACGGCCGCAAGGUUGAAACUCAAAUGAA
rnacentral:rRNA from 1 species